rnacentral:rRNA from 7 species
GGAGGUUAGUGCAAUGGCAUAAGCCAGCUUGACUGCGAGCGUGACGGCGCGAGCAGGUGCGAAAGCAGGUCAUAGUGAUCCGGUGGUUCUGAAUGGAAGGGCCAUCGCUCAACGGAUAAAAGGUACUCCGGGGAUAACAGGCUGAUACCGCCCAAGAGUUCAUAUCGACGGCGGUGUUUGGCACCUCGAUGUCGGCUCAUCACAUCCUGGGGCUGAAGUAGGUCCCAAGGGUAUGGCUGUUCGCCAUUUAAAGUGGUACGCGAGCUGGGUUUAGAACGUCGUGAGACAGUUCGGUCCCUAUCUGCCGUGGGCGCUGGAGAACUGAGGGGGGCUGCUCCUAGUACGAGAGGACCGGAGUGGACGCAUCACUGGUGUUCGGGUUGUCAUGCCAAUGGCACUGCCCGGUAGCUAAAUGCGGAAGAGAUAAGUGCUGAAAGCAUCUAAGCACGAAACUUGCCCCGA